UUAAAUUGAAGAGUUUGAUCAUGGCUCAGAUUGAACGCUGGCGGCAGGCCUAACACAUGCAAGUCGAACGGUAACAGGAAGAAGCUUGCUUCUUUGCUGACGAGUGGCGGACGGGUGAGUAAUGUCUGGGAAACUGCCUGAUGGAGGGGGAUAACUACUGGAAACGGUAGCUAAUACCGCAUAACGUCGCAAGACCAAAGAGGGGGACCUUCGGGCCUCUUGCCAUCGGAUGUGCCCAGAUGGGAUUAGCUUGUUGGUGGGGUAACGGCUCACCAAGGCGACGAUCCCUAGCUGGUCUGAGAGGAUGACCAGCCACACUGGAACUGAGACACGGUCCAGACUCCUACGGGAGGCAGCAGUGGGGAAUAUUGCACAAUGGGCGCAAGCCUGAUGCAGCCAUGCCGCGUGUAUGAAGAAGGCCUUCGGGUUGUAAAGUACUUUCAGCGGGGAGGAAGGGA
rnacentral:rRNA from 1 species